AUAAAGAAGGGGCAAGUUCGAGGACGGAAAGCCCACUCAAAGGGCGGGGGGCGGGGCCUGGCAAGAGGGGGUGUGGCCAGGAUCCCAGGCAGUAAAUUGUGAGGCGGGGUCUGGAUGGAAAGGCGGGGCCCGCUGAAAGAAGGCGACCCGAGUUCUACUUCCUAGUAAGGGACGUCUCUGGAGAGAUCCUGAGGUUUUUGAGCCUCUUUUGCCUACACACCGGCAGGUAAGCCAUCUCUGCCCCAGUGGGGUUCAGACCCCCCAGGACGGGCCCUUCUCUUACUCAUUCGCCCCCUCAUUUUCCCCAGUGUCCUUCCCGCACUCAGAGGGCCUCUCUGGAGCCAGUUCCAGGUAAUUCUCUUAGCCCAUUUCCUCAGGAUGACCUCCACCGAGAGGCCACUCUUCUUACGCCCUGCCGCCGCCCCAGGUGGAGGGAGCAUGACCACCUCCCACCCCAACACCACCGCCACUGUCCCGCGACUCCCGAAUAUCGCCACCUCCGUUUCCUUUGCUGGCCUCUUCAAGCUCUCCGUCCCCAACGCUCACCUGCUCUCCCUCA
rnacentral:sRNA from 1 species